rnacentral:rRNA from 1 species
UGGGGAAUAUUGCACAAUGGGCGCAAGCCUGAUGCAGCCAUGCCGCGUGUAUGAAGAAGGCCUUCGGGUUGUAAAGUACUUUCAGUCGGGAGGAAGGUGGUAAGGUUAAUAACCUUAUCAAUUGACGUUACCGACAGAAGAAGCACCGGCUAACUCCGUGCCAGCAGCCGCGGUAAUACGGAGGGUGCAAGCGUUAAUCGGAAUUACUGGGCGUAAAGCGCACGCAGGCGGUUGAUUGAGUCAGAUGUGAAAUCCCCGGGCUUAACCCGGGAAUUGCAUCUGAAACUGGUCAGCUAGAGUCUUGUAGAGGGGGGUAGAAUUCCAGGUGUAGCGGUGAAAUGCGUAGAGAUCUGGAGGAAUACCGGUGGCGAAGGCGGCCCCCUGGACGAAGACUGACGCUCAGGUGCGAAAGCGUGGGGAGCAAACAGG